ACUCAGUGAAAUUGAACUCGCUGUGAAGAUGCAGUGUACCCGCGGCAAGACGGAAAGACCCCGUGAACCUUUACUAUAGCUUGACACUGAACAUUGAGCCUUGAUGUGUAGGAUAGGUGGGAGGCUUUGAAGUGUGGACGCCAGUCUGCAUGGAGCCGACCUUGAAAUACCACCCUUUAAUGUUUGAUGUUCUAACGUGGACCCGUGAUCCGGGUUGCGGACAGUGUCUGGUGGGUAGUUUGACUGGGGCGGUCUCCUCCUAAAGAGUAACGGAGGAGCACGAAGGUUGGCUAAUCCUGGUCGGACAUCAGGAGGUUAGUGCAAUGGCAUAAGCCAGCUUGACUGCGAGCGUGACGGCGCGAGCAGGUGCGAAAGCAGGUCAUAGUGAUCCGGUGGUUCUGAAUGGAAGGGCCAUCGCUCAACGGAUAAAAGGUACUCCGGGGAUAACAGGCUGAUACCGCCCAAGAGUUCAUAUCGACGGCGGUGUUUGGCACCUCGAUGUCGGCUCAUCACAUCCUGGGGCUGAAGUAGGUCCCAAGGGUAUGGCUGUUCGCCAUUUAAAGUGGUACGCGAGCUGGGUUUAGAACGUCGUGAGACAGUUCGGUCCCUAUCUGCCGUGGGCGCUGGAGAACUGAGGGGGGCUGCUCCUAGUACGAGAGGACCGGAGUGGACGCAUCACUGGUGUUCGGGUUGUCAUGCCAAUGGCACUGCCCGGUAGCUAAAUGCGGAAGAGAUAAGUGCUGAAAGCAUCUAAGCACGAAACUUGCCCCGAGAUGAGUUCUCCCUGACCCUUUAAGGGUCCUGAAGGAACGUUGAAGACGACGACGUUGAUAGGCCGGGUGUGUAAGCGCAGCGAUGCGUUGAGCUAACCGGUACUAAUGAACCGUGAGGCUUAACCUUACAACGCCGAAGGUGUUU
rnacentral:rRNA from 1 species